ACCAAAGUUUGUCUGGUCUGCAGAUGUUCAUUCAGCAGCAUCUCUCACAGUGAGUCCUGACAGAGUGCAACACUUCACCUCUGACUCUGUCUCACUGACCUGUGAGGGAAACUUCACUGAGUGGAGAGUGAGGAAGUUCUCUGAGGACGGCCGACUCUCUGACUGUAGGAGAAUGACUGGAUCCACAUGUAACAUCGACACAUCAGAGUCAGAUACUGGAGUGUACUGGUGUGAGUCUGGAUCAGGAGAGUUCAGCAGUGCAGUCAACAUCACUGUACAGAAUGAUGGUAAUGGUCCCAUCCUGGUGAGUCCUGUUCAUCCUGUGACUGAGGGAGCUUCUGUUAGUCUGAGCUGCAGUUUGAAAACACAAAAAAUACUUUCCAAUGUGUUUUUCUAUCACAAUGACAAACUUAUUCAAAAUGAUCCCCGAGGGGAGCUGAAGAUCUCUGCAGUGUCAAAGUCUGAUGAA